rnacentral:rRNA from 1 species
UGCUUCUUUUGUAGGUAACGUCACCUCACGGAAGUUAUUAACCCCGCAAAGCCUCUUCCCUACCGAAAGGGCUUUACAACCCGCAGGCCUUCUUCACCCACGCGGCAUUGCUGGAUCAGGCUUGCGCCCAUUGUCCAAUAUUCCCCACUGCUGCCUCCCGUAGGAAGCCGAAUUCCAGCACACUGGCGGCCGUUACUAGUGGAUCCGAGCUCGGUACCAAGCUUGGCGUAAUCAUGGUCAUAGCUGUUUCCUGUGA